UACGGGGGGGGCAAGCGUUGUUCGGAAUUACUGGGCGUAAAGGGUUCGUAGGUGGCCAACUCAGUCAGACGUGAAAUCCCUCAGCUUAACUGGGGAACUGCGUCUGAUACUGGAUGGCUCGAGUGCAGGAGAGGAACGCGGAAUUCCAGGUGUAGCGGUGAAAUGCGUAGAUAUCUGGAGGAACACCGGUGGCGAAGGCGGCGUUCUGGACUGCAACUGACACUGAGGAACGAAAGCGUGGGGAGCAAACAGG
rnacentral:rRNA from 1 species